UACGGGGGGGGCAAGCGUUGUUCGGAAUUACUGGGCGUAAAGGGCUCGUAGGCGGCCAACUAAGUCAGACGUGAAAUCCCUCGGCUUAACCGGGGAACUGCGUCUGAUACUGGAUGGCUUGAAUCCGGGAGAGGGAUGCGGAAUUCCAGGGUGUAGCGGUGAAAUGCGUAGAUAAUCUGGAGGAACACCGGUGGCGAAAGGCGGCGAU
rnacentral:rRNA from 1 species